rnacentral:rRNA from 1 species
GCAGAACCUUACCAACCCUUGACAUGUCUCGUAUGGUUUCCAGAGAUGGAUUCCUUCAGUUCGGCUGGCGAGAACACAGGUGUUGCAUGGCUGUCGUCAGCUCGUGUCGUGAGAUGUUGGGUUAAGUCCCGCAACGAGCGCAACCCUCGCCUUUAGUUGCCAUCAUUUAGUUGGGCACUAUAGAGGGACUGCCGGUGAUAAGCCGGAGGAAGGUGGGGAUGACGUCAAGUCCUCAUGGCCCUUACGGGUUGGGCUACACACGUGCUACAAUGGCGGCGACAAUGGGCAGCGAAGGGGCGACCCGGUGCAAAUCCCAAAAAGCCGUCUCAGUUCGGAUUGUACUCUGCAACUCGAGUGCAUGAAGGUGGAAUCGCUAGUAAUCGCGUAACAGCAUGACGCGGUGAAUACGUUCCCGGGCCUUGUACACACCGCCCGUCACACCAUGGGAGUUGUUUUACCCGAAGCUGGUGCGCUAACCGCAAGGAGGCAGCCAACCACGGUAAGGUCAGCGACUGGGGUGAAGUCGUAACAAGGUAGCCCUAGGGGAACCUGGGGCUGGAUCACCUCCUUAAGCUUGGAUACCCGGG